GAUGAACGCUAGCGGCAGGCUUAACACAUGCAAGUCGAGGGGUAUUGGUUUUCGGACCAAGAGACCGGCGCACGGGUGCGUAACGCGUAUGCAAUCUACCUUUUGCAGAGGGAUAGCCCAGAGAAAUUUGGAUUAAUACCUCAUAGUAUAGUACUUUGGCAUCAAGGAACUAUUAAAGUCACAACGGCAAAAGAUGAGCAUGCGUCCAUUAGCUAGUUGGUAAGGUAACGGCUUACCAAGGCUACGAUGGGUAGGGGUCCUGAGAGGGAGAUCCCCACACUGGUACUGAGACACGGACCAGACUCCUACGGGAGGCAGCAGUGAGGAAUAUUGGACAAUGGGCGCAAGCCUGAUCCAGCCAUGCCGCGUGCAGGAUGACGGUCCUAUGGAUUGUAAACUGCUUUUAUACAGGAAGAAACACUCCGACGUGUCGGAGCUUGACGGUACUGUAAGAAUAAGGAUCGGCUAACUCCGUGCCAGCAGCCGCGUAAAG
rnacentral:rRNA from 1 species